GCUCCUGUGGCGCAAUCGGUUAGCGAGCGGUACUUAUAAUGCCGAGGUUGUGAGUUCGAGCCUCACCUGGAGCA
rnacentral:tRNA from 1 species